GUAUGUAUAAUAGAAGAAAAAAAGAAAGCAAAGCAAUAAGGUACUAUCCAUUAAAUUUAAAAACCAUAAUAAUUUUCAUCUUUGUCACUAAUCUAAUGAAGACUUGUAACGACUUGUGUGUGCACCAAGUGUGCACCUUUAGGAGACCAGGCCAGCCUGCAUUCCAUCUCCUCAGUCUGCACCUUCCCCACCGGUGGUGAGAAAUCAAACCCGUCGGUGCGUUGAGGAAACGAGACUAUCAGUUGCAGAUGUGGGAUCGUUGCGUGUGGACGCCCGGGGGCCGCCAAAGGCAACACAACCACCGCCUAUCUUCCUGCACAGGCGGCGCGGCGGAGGCGCACGCACGUGUUUUCCAUGCUUAACGGCCUCCUUGUGCUGGCGUGGACUGUAUCACGGCUGGCCACCUCAUUAGGAUUACACAAACACGAGUGGACUGAUUUCCAAGACCAGACUUUGGAGGGUGAGGAACCCGUUCUAAGGAAGACCGCAUUCCAUGCAGAUAAGUUCUUUACCACAUGCUUUCCUUCUGCUUUUGGUGCAUUCAUGCUAACGUUCAACCUUUACCAUUCACAAGCAUUAUUGUUUGUUCUAUUUAGAUAUUUUGUUCCUGGAGGAUUUAUGAAGAAUAAGAAGAGGUAGUAGGAGGGAUCAGUCGAUGAAGCUGACCUGGCGGUGGAUCAUACCGUGCAACAUGAGGCAGGCUGAAUUGGUUUUACAAGCUCCAGUCUCAUCCCCGUGCCCCCGUUUCCUUCUCCUGCCCCCCCACUUCCACACGGACUACUUGGACAAACGGCAACAACAGGUGGCAAAGAGCAAAGCGGUCUGGAAGUUUCCGCUCAAGCUUUGGGAAAAGUCAGAAGGAAGAAGCUGAUUUGUACCUGAAGGCUGCCGAUGCUGCCAGACUCCCACCAGAGAGAGACCGCCGCCGUCUGCCGCCGACCCACUGCCUCCGCUUGGACUUGACUGGUGGAGCGAGACCAGCAGGAAUACCAUCCCUCGCACACUGACACCCCCCCCCCCCCUCGCACAUGCAGAAAGCGAUGACUGAUUUUGACUGGAAGUACACACACAUUGUGCUGGCCCAUCUCUGCACACACACACACACACACACACACACACACACACAAAUAAACACACCAUCUUUCACAAUAGCACCUCUCCACCCCCUCAGCACCUCGCUCCCCCCCGGUCCUGCCCCUCCGCUCGCCUUUAAUCACUCACUUUCACUCUUUUGGACCUGUUGCAACAUUCUUACUCUUUACACGUUAAAGCUACACUAUGUAACCUUUGCACUUUAAAGCUACACUAUGUAACCUUUACACGUUAAAGCUACACUAUGUAACCUUUGCACUUUAAAGCUACACUAUGUAACCUUUACACUUUAAAGCUACACUAUGUAACCUUUACACCUUAAAGCUACACUAUGUAACCUUUACACUUUAAAGCUACACUAUGUAACCUUUACACUUUAAAGCUACACUAUGUAACCUUUACACCUUAAAGCUACACUAUGUAACCUUUACACUUUAAAGCUACACUAUGUAACCUUUACACGU